AUUAAAAAAAAAGGCUGAAAAGAACAAAGUUUUGUCCAUCUUUGUUCAUCAUAGCCUAAAGUUAGAGAAGAGAAAGGAGAGGAGAAAGCUCUUGAAUGUUCGAUCACUUGGGGAAGAAAAUUGAAGGUGAGCCUUGAUGUGGGUGACUUGGAGCCGGAGGGGAUUCAGAGUGGCCACGGUGAAUACUUUUGGGUUUGAAAAAGAGACUGGUUUUCUUAAGUUAUUUUUAAUUACUAUUUAAUUUUUGGGUUGUAAAAAGGCCAUUUUAACUUUAUUUUCUUCUUUGAUUUUCUGGGAUUAUAUUAUUUUAAACAACUUUAAAUUGAUGGAUACUAAUUCAAA